rnacentral:rRNA from 1 species
UACCGAGGGGGCGAGCGUUGUUCGGAAUUACUGGGCGUACAGGGCGCGUAGGCGGCCUGUUAAGUCGGACGUGAAAUCCCCGGGCUCAACCCGGGAACUGCGUCCGAUACUGGCUGGCUUGAAUCCGGGAGAGGGAUGCGGAAUUCCAGGUGUAGCGGUGAAAUGCGUAGAUAUCUGGAGGAACACCGGUGGCGAAGGCGACAUCCUGGACCGGUAUUGACGCUGAGGCGCGAAAGCCAGGGGAGCAAACGGG